GAAAGGGCUGAGCUGCAGAGAAAGAGGAGUGAAGUGACCUGGAGCUGAAGCAGAGAAGACCAUGCAGCCCCAGAGAGGGGACUGAGAAGAUGCCACGUCCUCCCACUGGAGCCUGACUGUUCCUUCUGUCUUGGACUGUAUGAGAAGUUUUCUCCUAGGGGCUCUAAGAUGAUCCAGAGCAACAUGACUCAAGCAAGAGGCUUGCUCCCAGAGGAUGUGGAGCCAGCACAAGAAGGACCAGCAGGCCUUGACUGACCUCUUUCUUGUCCCUGACCUGGAAAGGGGUUGUCGGGCCUCCACUAUAGAUAUCGGCACUGGCAGACUUUAUAUCUGCAUCACACAUCUGACCCCCUUUUUGCUUGGAAGAAAUGAAUGACUGGAGACUGAGCCUUCUACCAUCCCAUGGAGAAUGCCAGAAACCAACUCAGCUCCCAUGGCUACAAAAGAAAAAUCUCCGUGGCUGUUGACUUUAUUAGGAGACUUUGUGGCUCCCUGAAGUCAGCAUGUCUGGAACUGAGGUCUAGAAUGUAUUCUUAGGGGGAACUGGGUAUUUUUUCUAUUUAUAUUUUUAAAAAAUUGUGCAUUUCUAUUUGAUGAUAAUCUUAAAAAGGUUUCUUUUAUUAGGUAUAAAGGUACUUUUUCUUUGGUGACAAUUUAUAAUUGAAAGAUACUUUCAUGGAAUAAAACCCAUACUUGUUAUGAUAUUAUUUCUAAAACUUGGAUAUGUGGUUCCCUGAGGCUCUAUAAUCUAUAAAUGCAUUUUCAUGGACUCAUAAGAAAUUAUUUUCUCUUUAAAAGGGGUCCUUACUUCAUUCUGGCUUGGGAGACAUGACCUGAAAUGUCCUGUCCUACUAGGCUCUCCCAUUCUGUCCCCUGUUCCAUAGUCAUGCCAGGAACAAGUCAGUAAUGCACAUGGCAUGUGUACUGGCCACAGAGGAAAUGUACCCAAUGUACAAAUAUACCAAAGGAUUCCACAUUCUUUCUUCUUUGAUUUCUAGUUUAAACCAAUGUCCCCUUAACUGAAUCAGAAACCACCAAAGCAACCAAAACCCCACUGUUCAUAACCACUUUUGUGGUGUGGUGUGUUACCUCCUCCAAACCCUUUGAGCAGAAAACACCAACUCCAAACUUCUUUCCUCUUCUCUAGUUCAGAAGGGACUCAGCAGACUCAAUUUUCAAAGGGCAACCUCAUCCCUGAAUGUAGGGGGUCCCGCCCGGGGAGAGCAUGUCAGUAUGUGUUUGGCAUCCAGAACUCACAUGGGGAGCAGAAGGUCUUCCCACCAGGUUUGCUUUCUUCUUGGCCUCUAAUGUUCCUACCCUUGAAUGUGUGUGGUGUGUGUGUGUAUGUUCAUGUGUGCUUAUGCAUGCAUGUUUUUAUGUGUGUACAUGUAUAUUUUAAUCAGAACCCAUCUCUUAUCCUGGACUCUCAAAGGACUCCCCAAUACCCAGACAUUUACUCUGGAAAUCCCACAGACCCCUUAUAGAUUUGGUGCCAACGAGGAGUCUCAUUUGGUACAGGAGUCAGUCUGCAUGGUUGAUUGUGGCUCCGGUGAUCUUUAGGAGGUACAUAGGUUUCCUACCAGGACAAUAAGAUGCAGUCACUGACUUAACAGUCCUUUGAAGGUAUAGAUGAUAAAAUAAACUCUUUUGCCAUGCUCAAGAUAAUGCAAGAAUAUAAUAGAAACCGAUUAAAUAACAUUUUUAGGUAGAUUAAAGAUAUGCUGAGGGUGAAAUCAUGUACCCAGAAACAUUUUAAAGCCUAGAAAGAACAAAAUGUCACAGUUGUUCUCUAAGGAUUCCAGUCCUUCUUACUUCUCUAAAGAUUGAGAAUUUUCUUUCCACAGGAAGGAGCAAGAUAUUGACUUUUUGGGUUUUUUUUGCAGUGCUGGAGAUUGAACCCAGGGCCUUGUGCUUGCAAGGCCAGCACUCUACCAGCUGAGCUAUCUCCCCAGUCCUAGAUAUUGGCUUUUAAUUAGCCCAUAAGUUAUUUCUCCAGGAACAGAGAAAGGACUGGGGGGCUUUAUGGUCCUCGCAGAAUGCUUCUGAGGGGUCCCUAUGAUGCAGGAUGGCUAGACAAGUCUGUCCCAUCCCUUUAAGCUCAAAGUAUGUAACAAGGAAUUCAGGUUAUUGAGUGCAACACUCCAAGCAAAACACUCAUGUUUGUUACUGGUUCUUAGGACAACCAUGUGGCAUCUAGGAAUUUAGAGAGAAAUAAUCCUGAGAAUUAAACCAUGACAUACAUAUACAUGAUGGAUCAGAGUAGAGGUCUCAAAGUCC